UCGUGAACUAGUAGAACUAGUAGAACAUCGUGAACUAGUAGAACUAGUAGAACUAGUAGAACAUCGUGAACUAGUAGAACUAGUAGAACAUCGUGAACUAGUAGAACAUCGUGAACUAGGCUUUUUAUCAAUUCUAGACGCCAGGGUGAAUUCUAACACAACAACAUGGUUGAUUUUCGCUGGCAUAAAUAUGUUUUUGGCCCGACUAAGGUUCAUUUUAGACCGAACGCUGCGAGUUAAAGUCACAAGGGUUUUCAUUAACGUUACGGACCGAUCAAAGAGUAAGGCAAGCACGCAUUUUCAUUAAAAAGCAGCUGCACUCUCUGUGCUUUUAAGUCAAGGCGAGCCAAGAUGAGAAGUAGUCUGAGUACAUCGUAGUCGCACGGAGCGAUGAAUGAAAGAAAGACACACGUACGUUAUUUUGCGACUAACGAGCGUUGCGCGUGAAUAUUACUAUCAGAUAGCUCAAACAUCUAGAACUCGAACAAUUUCCUACUAAGAGGCGGACUAACGAUCUGAGUGAGUCAUAUCUAUCAGGCUAUUUCUAGGAUUAUUUUUUGACAUUAAGCUAAAUGCUCUCUACAGUCUAGACGAUUUUGACUAAACUCGCUAAUUUGAUUUCCUCGGAGGUGACGCGAAGAGCAGAGAUGGGAAAUGAAUAACAAAUUAAAGAUUAGUUCUAUCACGAAAAGAUAAAUAAAAAGGGAUGAAAUACGAAAUGCAAGUAGAAGAAAUGCAGAUGCCGUCGCAUUGAAAAUCGUUUAUGCCAGUGGUCUCCACUUAUGUCUGGCAUACGACGCAAGAAGGAAGUGAGCACUCAAACACUAAACAUCUCUCCAAGCAUACUCUCUUUUCUCUUUUACUUGUGAUGUCAGCUACACUUUGAACUCCCUUUGGACGCAGCGCGCUCAGGUCGCGUCGCGGUACGCGGUGUGUAGGGAAGUGCGGUUUGAAUCAGCAUAAUGUUGGGCUAGCCUCUAGGAGCUUGGUUUAUGUGUUAAUGAAUGACUGUAUACUAAAAAGGAUUAUUCCUUUGGCUUGUAACUAGCCUGCUCGCAUGCUUUUACUCAAAUCCGGAUAAAAUAAGAUAUUCCCAUACACGCGCAUUGUCUAUUUUGUUGGGUCCUUUUCUACGUUCUCAAGUUAAAUAUGAAUUAAACGAUUUCAACAAGAUAAAAUUGCGCGAAUCGUUUUGCCGUUUCCUUGAUACUUUAACGUGCUAUGGGAAAGAGCGUGCUGGGAAUAGAGACCCGUGUGGGUGGAAAAUACUCGUAAAGUCAGUACAUAAAGUCUACAGGUAGAAAUCACGAAGGCACUGCAGAGUUAUCGGGCGUAAGUCAGCUUACUUGAUCGGCGCAUUGUCAAAGACAACGUCGAUGCUUGGAAACACUUGUACAUUAUGACAGCAGAAUUCCACUUCGUCUCUUUCACGCCAGAUGGAACUUAUCAGAGGGAAAAUCCCUUAACCUAGAUUUGCUAGCAUUCUAAAUAACUACCCAGUGAUCUAAUGCUGAAAGAAUUCGACGCCGAAUGAUCUAGGCAAGUCUAGCCUCUCGCAUUGAUUACUAUGUAAAUUGAGAGGCGGCCUUAAAGUAAAAUACCGGGUUUGAAGAGAUUGGCUCAGACGUCACUGUCAGGCACUCCUUAGCAAGCAUCUAUCAGAAUUACUGCCUAUCCUAUGCAAUAACAAAAUCUUUUUAGAGUAGCGAUAUCUCGGUGACUUUUGCUUUAAUUUAGAUGUAUUAUGCUUAUAAAUGUUUUCAAUGGUUUCUGUACCCUCACUUAAAGCUUUGUUUUACAGUUCUAAACCAACCAUCAAGCCAGGUGUCUAUCCGAGCUUGAAGGCUUGUACAAAGAUAAGAACGCGCAAUUUGGAUGAAUGGAAGAAAUAUAGUAUGAAUGAAAGACAAAAAUAAAUAACGGAUGAAGGCUUUUAGUCGGAAGAAAAUAAGAAAA